rnacentral:rRNA from 1 species
GACGAACGCUGGCGGCGUGCUUAACACAUGCAAGUCGAACGGAAAGGCCCUGCUUUUGUGGGGUGCUCGAGUGGCGAACGGGUGAGUAACACGUGAGUAACCUGCCCUUGACUUUGGGAUAACUUCAGGAAACUGGGGCUAAUACCGGAUAGGAGCUCCUGCUGCAUGGUGGGGGUUGGAAAGUUUCGGCGGUUGGGGAUGGACUCGCGGCUUAUCAGCUUGUUGGUGGGGUAGUGGCUUACCAAGGCUUUGACGGGUAGCCGGCCUGAGAGGGUGACCGGCCACAUUGGGACUGAGAUACGGCCCAGACUCCUACGGGAGGCAGCAGUGGGGAAUAUUGCACAAUGGGCGGAAGCCUGAUGCAGCAGCGCCGCGUGCGGGAUGCCGGCCUUCGGGUUGUAAACCGCUUUCGCCUGUGACGAAGCGUGAGUGACGGUAAUGGGUAAAGAAGCACCGGCUAACUACGUG